AGCGUUCUGUCUCCUUUUUCUCUCUUGGUUCUUUUCUGCAUUUAUCAAGCUGUUAUAAGAAAUGAUUUGUAAUCAAUUUGCACAGAGCAACUGAGUGAAGAGCCAUAUACAAAGACUGAAGAUUGGAAUCAUCCUUAGUAGAGAGAGGAUUUGCCCUGGAUGUCUGCAGAAAUCCUGAUGGUGUCAUCUGUUAUGCUAGGAAAAAAAUAGAGGGAUUUAUCUGCACAGGGAGUUCUGACUGCCUUGGUGAUGCCCCUGGAAUAUGUAGCUUUUGAAGAAUGCAGAGGACUACAAUAUGUCUUGCAGCUCAUGGGAGAAAAAAUAUGCCAUUUCCCAAAGGCAGUUUAAGGCCCAGUCUUCCAGCAGAAUAUUUUCAAUUUCAUAGGUAUUGGCCACCGAGGGCCUGGAAAUACAGUCAGGAAUUACUGCUGUCCAGAUGUUGUUCUGGGUGAUUCUGCCAGAUUUCCAGCCAGAGUCAUUCAAACACAGUCUAGUAAACUCAUAUAGCCUCUAUAUCACUACAUUCACUGACCUUCCAAAUUGUCUCUCCCCAUGUUCAGUUAUCUCCUGGCAUGGAAAAACAUUUCACUAGGAAACUUAUUCAAAUAUGACGACCUACGUGGAUGAGAAUCUCAAAGGCUCUUGACAUUCUGUGAUAGCCUUGUUCUAAAACCCCUGGAGUUUAUUAUUUCUGAGAACAAAGUUAAACUGGGGAUCAUUGAUAAAUUGAGAAAGCAAAUACUGAAUGUUUGUGCUUUCAUAAUAUAACCAAAAAAUACAAGAGGUUUAAGCUUAUAUCCAAUAAUACGUUAUCAGAUUCUUGAAUUUUGUCAGUACUAAUGAAUAAAAUAAAACUGAAUAACUCAUACGGUAUGGUUUCAGAACAAAAACUUUUCUUUUUAUGAUGUUCCUGAAAUUAGAAGGUAACAUAUUUUAUAUAUGCACAUGUAUAUAAUCAGUAUAUAUCUACCUAUAUGUAUAUUUUUGUAUGUAAGUGUGCUGAUUUUUUACCUUCAUGUUUUCUUCAGAUUAAAAAUUUAAAGGAGACAAGAACAGAAUAAUAUCAUGAUAUGGUUAAAAGCAC
ensembl:lncRNA